rnacentral:lncRNA from 1 species
AGUGACUCCCCUGGUUCUCAGGCCUCUGAGUUUGUACUGGAACAACACUACCAGCUUCCCUGGGGUUGCAGCUAGCAGAUGUAGAUUGUGGGUCUUCUUAGCCUUAAUAAUUAUGUGAGCCAAUAUUCCCCCAUGAUAAAUAUAUCUAUUCCCAUAGAUAGAUAUAUGUUAUAUUGGUUUUGUUUCUAUGGAGAACCCUAAAAUAGUAAGCAAAACAAAAUGGACAGCAGACAAAGGAAGGAUGAAGUUUCAAGUCAGUUUUUCAGUUUGGUGGCCUGAAAGCUAAGUGGGUCUUGACUGAAGGAUUCUAUUUUCUCUGAAGUCUGAGGGAGUUCAAUUUAUUCAUUCUGGGUGGCUCUCAGGGAUAUAGCUAAGAAGCAUUGGGGAAAAUUUAGCUAUGCAGGUUUCAGUUCAAUAAUAAGAGCGUCUGAAUAGUGACAAUUGUUUUCAGUAAUGAUAUCUAACUUUCACUGAGCAUUUAUCACGUGCCAGGCUUUAAGUUAAUUUAUCUCAUUCAAUUAUUUCAGCAACCUGAUGAGGUUGGUAUCAUUAUUAUUUUUAUUUUGCACACAAAAAUUAAGAUUCUUAAAGGGGAAGUAAAUUUCUGAAGGUCACACUAUCAGAAGUUAAUCCAAAUAUAGAAAUAGCUUGACUGGUAGUGAGUUCCCUAUCACUGAUAGUAAUUUUCCCUAAAUUGUGUAAUAAUUAUUUAGAUAAAAAAAUAGGAGUUUCUUUUAGAAAUAGAGGAUAAAAAUAUAUUUUGUUAGGGAAGGCUGGCCAUUUUCCUACCAAGUACUUAAAAUAAUUGUUCGUUAGGUAUGCUGUAAAGAAUAAUUCCAACAAAAGAAAUGAGAUUGCAAUAACUUGGUAGUUUAAAAACUCAGCAUUUUGGAAUCCUGGAGGUCCAUGAACAUAUCCCAGGGUCCCUCAAGAGGGGCUGGCUUCUUUCUUUUCUGCUUCUGCCCCAUCGUAAGUAAGACAGCUACAUGUCCACUGGCUCUCCUGUGUAUUGAGACCACUUGUAAAAUUUCAUAUAAAAAAGUUGUAUGGAUAAGAAAAUGUCUAGAAGCCAUCAGAAUGAAAAUCCUUCAUCAUAUUCUAGCCCUAUAAUUCCGUGGAAAGAAUUUUCUGGAGGGCAGGUGUGAACUGGAGGCUGGAACAGUGGCCUUUUCCACACUGCCUAGUCCCCCCAUCCUGGGUACCCCGCCCAGCCUGCUCUGCGCUGCACCGCCUGCCUCUCAGAAGAAUCUCCUCUUCUGCGAAGGCCAUUCAGGGCUUCCCAACCCGGGCCAGCCCUCGUAGCUCCCAGGGGCUCUGAACACCCAGUGGCUGGGCCACUUCGAGCUCUCUGGGGGAGAGGAUUUGCAUUUGCAGCAGGCUCUGGCCUCCUGGGUGUGGCCCGGGUCUGCAUGAACCUCCCAGGCCGGGGAUGGAGCCCUGCGGCUCUGCCAGGGGGAUGCUCCCUCCCUGUCCUUUGAAAAUGUCGGCUGUGAAAACAGCACUGGCAGGCACACUCUCUGCUCACACAGAAAGCUCCUGACUCAGCUGUUUCUCGUCGAUGCUGGCAGUGUCCCCCGGGACGGGGAGGGCAGGCCGUGGCCAGGCCAGCCACGGAGGAGGCUCUGGGUGACCUGUGGGGCCAUUUGCCACCCGUCACUCCAGGUCUGCGGUCUGCCGAGCCACCACCUGCACCUUGUGCUCUUCCAAGAUGGAAUUCCGGGGGUGGGCACUGGGCAGCUAAUCACCAAUUGGUGAUCGAGCUGCCGUUCCCAUGGUGAUUUCCCAUCGAGCCCACACACCCUGGGCUCUCAUCCCCUCCCAUUCACUGUAACCUCCAUUAAGUAGAAACAAAAGAUUAAUAUGGCAGAAGCCAUUUAAUGAACUCGGCAGUGGUGCAGAGGCUUUUAGCUUUUUCCUGGAGUGGAUUCCUGGAACAGCAAGGCUGGGGCCCCUCAGCCCCUGCAGGAGGUGCCACAGGCUUUCCCGGCGUCUGAUGUCUCGCCCCAUUGUCAGACUUCAAUUGCAGCAAAUGCCUGCCCAGACAGUCUCCUGGUUUAGGGGAAGACCCCCUUUCUUUACGUCUGCAAGGGAAGGGAAGAAGGGGGCAGUCAGAGAUGGGCAGCGUGUGGAGAAGCAAAUUGGGCAUCUGGAGCCCCCAUUGCUUGCCACUUGUUCAUUUUCCCUCCCCACUCAGCCAUCUCUGAUGGGAGCCAGUUCUGGACUGGGGCCCUGAGGAGGGAAGUGACAGAGCCGCAGCACUGCCAUCUUGGACACACACUGCCAUCUUGGACACGCACGGCCAUUUUAAGUUCCCUUGAUUAAAAACCGCCUAAAUCCAGCCCCAAAACCUCAGCCUAAUGGUUAAUGUCAGCAUGACCAGAAACAUUCCAACCCUGAGAUAAACCCCUCUCCAGCCAGAAACAUGCCAAUCCCAAGAUAACCUACCCUCUGACCAGAGACAUGCCAGCCCCGCAAUAAACUUUCCCUCACACAGAAACAUUCCAAGCCUGCAAUAAACUCCCCCUUCCUAAACCCUUAAAUACCCUUAGUCUCUAAGAGAGAAUGCUCCUGAUGGAAAUUGGCCAGGAGCCCCUCUCAGGUUUAUUCUCCAAAAUAAAACUGUCUUUGACUGUUGAGCCACUUUUCAUGUUUCUUUCUUCUUU